AGGUGGUCUGAGAGGAUGGUCACCCACACUGGGACUGAGAUACUGGCCAGAAUCCUACGGGAGGCUGCAGUCGAGACUCAUCCGCAAUGGGCGAAAGCCUGACGGUGCAAUGCCGCGUGGGGGAUGAAGGCCUUCGGGUCGUACACCCCUGUCAUAGGGGACGAAAAACAUGACUGUACCCUCAGAGGAAGACACGGCUAACUACGUGCCAGAAGACGCGGGUCAUACGUAUGUGGCGAGCGUAAUCCGGAUUUACUGGGCGUCCAGGGUCCGCAUAGGGUUAGCAGAGUACGCUGUUAAAGUCCGCAGCUCAACUGCGGAACUGCUUCGGAUACUUGGUGAACUUUGAGUGCGCGAAGGCUGACCGGAAUUCCAGUUGUUAGCGGUGGAAUGCGUAGAUAUCUGGAAGAACACCGCUGGUGAAAGCGGCUCGCUGGAGCGCCACUGACCCUCAUGGACGAAAGCGUGGGGAUCGAACAGGAUUAGAUACCCUGGUAGUCCACGCUGUAAACGGUGCAGACUCGAUGCGGGGGUCGGUCCCCUCCGUGUCUAAGCCAACGCGUUAAGUCUGCCGCCUGGGGACUACGGCCGCAAGGCUAAGACUCAAAGGAAUUGACGGGGGCCCGCACAAGCGGUGGAGCAUGUGGCUUAAUUCGAGGCAACGCGAAGAACCUUACCCGGGCUUGACAUAUUCCGGACCGCCUGUGAAAGCAGGUUUUCCCUUCGGGGACCGGUAUACAGGUGCUGCAUGGCUGUCGUCAGCUCGUGCCGUGAGGUGUUCGGUUAAGUCCGGCAACGAGCGCAACCCGUAUCGUCAGUUGCCAUCAGGUAAUGCUGGGCACUCUGGCGAGACUGCCCGUGUCAAGCGGGAGGAAGGCGCGGACGACGUCAAGUCCGUACGGCCCUUACGCCCGGGGCUGCACACGUGCUACAAUGGGCGGUACAGUGGGAAGCGAAACCGCGAGGUGAAGCGAAUCCCCAAAACCGCCCCCAGUUCGGAUCGGAGUCUGCAAUUCGACUCCGUGAAGUCGGAAUCGCUAGUAAAGGCGCAUCAGCAACGGCGCCUUGAAUUCGUUCCCGGGCAUUGUACACACCGCCCGUCACAUCAUGGAAGCCGGCUGCACCCGAAGU
rnacentral:rRNA from 1 species